rnacentral:rRNA from 1 species
UGGCGGACGGGUGAGUAAUGUCUGGGAAACUGCCUGAUGGAGGGGGGAUAACUACUGGAAACGGUAGCUAAUACCGCAUAACGUCGAAAGACCAAAGAGGGGGACCUUCGGGCCUCUUGCCAUCGGAUGUGCCCAGAUGGGAUUAGCUUGUUGGUGGGGUAAUGGCUCACCAAGGCGACGAUCCCUAGCUGGUCUGAGAGGAUGACCAGCCACACUGGAACUGAGACACGGUCCAGACUCCUACGGGAGGCAGCAUG